CCCUUAGAUGUUCUGGGCCGCACGCGCGCUACACUGUUUGAUUCAGCGAGUCUUAACCUUGACCGAAAGGUUUGGGUAAUCUUCUAAAGUCAAACGUGAUGGGGAUCGAUCAUUGCAAUUAUUGAUCGUGAACGAGGAAUUCCUAGUAAAUGCAAGUCAUCAGCUUGCAUUGAUUACGUCCCUGCCCUUUGUACACACCGCCCGUCGCGCCUACCGAUUGAACGUUCCGGUGAGACCUUGGGAUUUUGGUUUAUUUGAUUUAUUUCAGAUUUACUAGAAGAACUUGAGCAAACCUUAACGUUUAGAGGAAGGUGAAGUCGUAACA
rnacentral:rRNA from 1 species